UACGUAGGGGGCAAGCGUUGUCCGGAAUCAUUGGGCGUAAAGAGCGCGUAGGCGGCCCAGUCAGUCCGCUCUGAAAGUCAGGGGCUCAACCCCUGAAUGCGGGUGGAUACUGCUGGGCUAGAGUCCGGAAGAGGCGAGUGGAAUUCCUGGUGUAGCGGUGAAAUGCGCAGAUAUCAGGAGGAACACCAAUGGCGAAGGCAGCUCGCUGGGACGGUACUGACGCUGAGACGCGAAAGCGUGGGGAGCAAACAGG
rnacentral:rRNA from 1 species